AUUGAACGCUGGCGGAAUGCUUUACACAUGCAAGUCGAACGGCAGCACGGGAGCUUGCUCCUGGUGGCGAGUGGCGAACGGGUGAGUAAUGCAUCGGAACGUACCUAUUAGUGGGGGAUAACUAUCCGAAAGGAUAGCUAAUACCGCAUACGUCCUGAGGGAGAAAGCGGGGGAUCGCAAGACCUCGCGCUAAUAGAGCGGCCGAUGUUGGAUUAGCUAGUUGGUGGGGUAAAGGCCUACCAAGGCGACGAUCCAUAGCUGGUCUGAGAGGAUGAUCAGCCACACUGGGACUGAGACACGGCCCAGACUCCUACGGGAGGCAGCAGUGGGGAAUUUUGGACAAUGGGGGCAACCCUGAUCCAGCCAUUCCGCGUGAGUGAAGAAGGCCUUCGGGUUGUAAAGCUCUUUCGGCAGGAACGAAACGGUGGUUACUAAUACUAGCUACUAAUGACGGUACCUGAAGAAGAAGCACCGGCUAACUACGUGCCAGCCGCCGCCGUAA
rnacentral:rRNA from 1 species